rnacentral:tRNA from 1 species
ACGUUUGUAGCUCAAUUGGUUAGAGCAUAUUCACAUUGCCCCGUGGAUAGUUUAUCGGUUCAAGUCCGGUCAAACGUG